rnacentral:rRNA from 1 species
GGAAUAUUGCACAAUGGGGGGAACCCUGAUGCAGCAACGCCGCGUGAGUGAAGAAGUAUUUCGGUAUGUAAAGCUCUAUCAGCAGGGAAGAUAAUGACGGUACCUGACUAAGAAGCCCCGGCUAACUACGUGCCAGCAGCCGCGGUAAUACGUAGGGGGCAAGCGUUAUCCGGAUUUACUGGGUGUAAAGGGGGCGCAGGCGGCAUGGCAAGUCAGAUGUGAAAUACCGGGGCUCAACCCCGGGACUGCAUUUGAAACUGUCAGGCUGGAGUACAGGAGAGGCAGGCGGAAUUCCUAGUGUAGCGGUGAAAUGCGUAGAUAUUAGGAGGAACACCAGUGGCGAAGGCGGCCUGCUGGACUGUAACUGACGCUGAGGCCCGAAAGCGUGGGGAGCAAACA